rnacentral:ncRNA from 12 species
CGGUUUAGAGGUUGAAAAGUAUUCCCGCUCCAACGCGCUGUCUUAAUGACAGGCCGAGAAAUGUGGGCGACCGCGGGUCCCACCUAAAUCG